rnacentral:rRNA from 1 species
AUUAAGCAUAUCAAUAAGCGGAGGAAAAGAAACCAACAGGGAUUGCCUUAGUAACGGCGAGUGAAGCGGCAAAAGCUCAAAUUUGAAAUCUGGCACCUUCGGUGUCCGAGUUGUAAUUUGAAGAAGGUAACUUUGGAGUUGGCUCUUGUCUAUGUUCCUUGGAACAGGACGUCACAGAGGGUGAGAAUCCCGUGCGAUGAGAUGCCCAAUUCUAUGUAAAGUGCUUUCGAAGAGUCGAGUUGUUUGGGAAUGCAGCUCUAAGUGGGUGGUAAAUUCCAUCUAAAGCUAAAUAUUGGCGAGAGACCGAUAGCGAACAAGUACAGUGAUGGAAAGAUGAAAAGAACUUUGAAAAGAGAGUGAAAAAGUACGUGAAAUUGUUGAAAGGGAAGGGCUUGAGAUCAGACUUGGUAUUUUGCGAUCCUUUCCUUCUUGGUUGGGUUCCUCGCAGCUUACUGGGCCAGCAUCGGUUUGGAUGGUAGGAUAAUGACUAAGGAAUGUGGCUCUACUUCGGUGGAGUGUUAUAGCCUUGGUUGAUACUGCCUGUCUAGACCGAGGACUGCGUCUUUGACUAGGAUGCUGGCAUAAUGAUCUUAAGCCACCCGUCU